UACGUAGGGUGCAAGCGUUGUCCGGAAUUAUUGGGCGUAAAGAGCUCGUAGGCGGUUCGUCGCGUCGGCUGUGAAAUCCCGAGGCUCAACCUCGGGUCUGCAGUCGAUACGGGCGGACUGGAGUUCGGCAGGGGAGACUGGAAUUCCUGGUGCAGCGGUGAAAUGCGCAGAUAUCAGGAGGAACACCGGUGGCGAAGGCGGGUCUCUGGGCCGAUACUGACGCUGAGGAGCGAAAGCGUGGGGAGCGAACAGG
rnacentral:rRNA from 1 species